rnacentral:rRNA from 1 species
AGCUCCAAUAGCGUAUAUUAAAGUUGUUGCGGUUAAAAAGCUCGUAGUUGGAUCUCGGCGGGUAGAAGGCGGUACACUGCUAAGUGUUACUGCCUUAUUACCCGUAGUUUUUGCUAGAGGGUUCAGGGGGCUCUUAAUCGAGUGUCCUGGGAUGCUAGCAGGUUUACUUUGAAAAAAUUAGAGUGCUCAAAGCAGGCCUUCGCCUUGAAUACAUUAGCAUGGAAUAAUAGAAUAGGAAGUCGUUUCUAUUUUGUUGGUUUUCGGAAAUCGACUUAAUGAUUAAUAGGGACAGUCGGGGGCAUUUGUAUUCAAACGACAGAGGUGAAAUUCUUGGACCGUUUGAAGACAAACUACUGCGAAAGCAUUUGCCAAGAAUGUUUUCA